rnacentral:rRNA from 1 species
GAUGAACGCUAGCGGGAGGCUUAAUACAUGCAAGUUGAGCGGUAAGCUAUUUAUAGCAAUAUAGAUGGCCUAGAGCGGCGCACGGGUGAGUAACGCGUACAUAACCUACCCUGUACAGGGGGAUAGCCUUGGGAAACUGAGAUUAAUACCCCAUGGUAUUAUUGUUCCGCAUGGGAUGAUAAUUAAAGUUUAGUCGGUAUGGUAUGGAUGUGCGUCUGAUUAGCCAGUUGGUGAGGUACCGGCUCACCAAAGCGAUGAUCAGUAGGGGGCGUGAGGGCGUGGACCCCCACACGGGUACUGAGACACGGACCCGACUCCGACGGGAGGCAGCAGUAAGGAAUAUUGGUCAAUGGAGGAAACUCUGAACCAGCCAUCCCGCGUGAAGGAUGAAGGGGCUCUGCCUUGUAAACUUCUUUUGUCUGGGACGAAAAAGCCCCGUUUACGGGGAACUGACGGUACCAGAAGAAUAAGCACCGGCUAACUCCGUGCCAGCAGCCGCGGUAACAC